AUUGAACGCUGGCGGCAGGCCUAACACAUGCAAGUCGAGCGAGCGGCGGACGGGUGAGUAAUGUCUGGGAAACUGCCUGAUGGAGGGGGAUAACUACUGUACACGGUAUCUAAUACCGCAUACCAUCAGAUGUGCCCAGAUGGGAUUAGCUAGUCGGUGGGGUAAUGGCUCACCUAGGCUACGAUCCCUAGAUUGUCUGAGAGGAUGACCAGCCACACUGGAACUGGUACACGGUACAGACUCCUACGGGAGGGAGCAGUGGGGAAUAUUGCAUAAUGGGCGCAAGCCUGAUGCAGCCAUGCCGGGUGUGUGAAGAAGGCCUUCGGGUUGUAAAGCACUUUCAGCGAGGAGGCGUUACUCGCAGAAGAAGCACCGGCUAACUCCGUGCCAGCAGCCGCGGUAAUAC
rnacentral:rRNA from 1 species